GGAGGGGAAGGAGGGGCAGCGCCCAUUCUCCUGCCGGCGCUGCCGGAGCCGAGAACCGCAGAUCUGGAGCACCCACACUCGAUACGGCUGGAUCCGUGGUUCCCAGGGUUGGGGCAUCCAGAUCUAGAGGUUCUGAGCUUGGGCCUUGGGGUGGCUAGCACCGGCAGUGGAGGGGAUGGUGGAAGCUCGUCGCCGGCAGGAGAUGGUGGUGAUGGUCGGCUGCAUCUUGCCGAUGGCGCUGGGCGGAGGCUCGGUAGCCGACCCGCCGUUCGUCGAAGGUAUCGCACAGGCGCUCGCCAUGCGGAUCUGGAGAGAAUAGAGGGGCGGCGACGGCUCGAGGAUCUGCCACCGAUGUAUCUGGACAUAGACGACUUGAUCAUCACUCGGACUUCAGAUGGCGAGGAUUCGGACGAGCUGUGCUCCAUCAAGUCGGACAGCCCCAGGGACGCUACGCCGCCCAGGAAGAUACCUCCUGCAGGCCGACGUUCGUAG
rnacentral:lncRNA from 1 species